CCUUGUCUUGACCACCAAGACUUUCCUUAGAUGCAAUUUUAAAUAAAUAUUCUGCAGAAGAUCUUCCUCCUCCUCCCUAACGUGAUUUUCCUCUUUCUCCCAUUUAAUCUGCAAAGGAAAUAUACCAAAGAAAUUUAUGAUUAGUCAAUCCCAAUUACUUUGUGAAAUCAAUUACGCAUUACACACCCAUUUCCCACGCUCAAUAACCGCUCCCCAACUCUGCAGAAUCAUCUCCAAAAAUAAAUCCUCAAACAAUUAUAUUAAUCCUCGUACCUUAAUCUCUCCGCCUCACUCUCACAAACGCUCAUCACAAUUCUCACAAGGAGGCAGAGAAAGCAGCAAAAAGAAUCCAUCUUCUUCUCUCUCAAUUCUGUUUCCAUUGAGAGUGGAGACAGAGAGUUGACGAUCGUUGUUCAAGCCACACACACAAUUCAAUCCUCUGCUUGUCUCGAUUUUCCUGUUAACAAGAGGUGAUAUCUCACAAGUGAAUCGUGACCGCAAGGGAAAGAAUGUAAUUUCAGAUUGAGCAAUCGAGGUUGAGCGGCGACGAGCUUGGGGUGGUGUUGAGUCAAACCUUAAUCAUUGUUGGAUUUAUUUUGAACUCCGAUGGGCGUCGUGUCUUCAUACAUGGCGUCACUCUUACUCUUGAAUGCUUCCGCUGAAUUAUGACUAUUUUUCCCCAUUAUGUCUUGAACCCUUUUUCA